rnacentral:rRNA from 1 species
GAUUUCAUAGAUGUUUUUAUCUUUAAAAAUUUUUUAAAACAUUUAUGGGGAGUAAUACGCUUUCGUUUUUCAGGAUAACUAGUUUGUUUUUUUUUAAUGGGGAAACCUUUUUUAAGUUUUGUUUUAAUUUUUGGGUUUAUUUUCUUUAAUAGUAAGUAAUUGUGUAAUAACUCUGGGUUUUUAUAAAAAAUUUAUUUUUUUAAAAAUAUAACUUAUUAAUUAAUAGAUUAGUAGAAUUAUUAGUUGUUUUGUGUUUAUUAGUGUUUUUGAAAUUUAAUAUUAAAAAUUAUUUUUGUUUACUGAUUUUUUCUUAGACUGGUUAAUAAAAUCUUAGCUACAAAUUUUGUAGUUAUUUCUGCUCUAUGCUUUUAGUAAAUGGCUGUUUUGCAACACUAAGGUAGCAAAAUCAUUAGUUAUUUAAUUGGUAACUUGUAUGAAUGAAUUUUCUAAGAAAAUAUUAAUUUUCUUUUUGAAUUUAUAAAUUUGUUGAAAAUAACAAUUUUUCCUAUAAGACUAAAAGACCCUAAAAUUUUUAUAAUUUCUGUAUGUAAAGUUAUUUGAUUGGGGCAAUAAUUGAAGAAAAAUAUCUUACUAAUUUAAUUUUCUUUGAACUUUUUUUAUUGAUAAAAGGUAAAAUACUUUAGGGAUAACAGCUUAAUUAUUUUUAAGAGUUCUUAUCAUUAAAAUAGUUUUAGACCUCGAUGUUGGAUUGGAAAAACUUUUUGGGGCAG